GGUUGACCUCGGAUCAGGUAGGGAUACCCGCUGAACUUAAGCAUAUCAAAA
rnacentral:rRNA from 1 species